ACAACAAGGAUUUGGAGGUGCAGGCUGAGAAGCACUGUAGCGGCGCUGGGAUAGAGCCAGCAGGCUUCAUCUUGAAAGAAAAAAAGAUCCUGAGGUGAUGAUUGAGAGCAUGUAGUUUUCCUGGAAGGUGCAAAGACAGCCCAAGAGCAGAGAGAAGAUGAUGCAGAAAAAGGAAGACUUCCAACAAACCAGCCUUUAAAGUGGAUGAGUAAAUCAUAACCCGUGGAGAAGCUCUCGAAAAUGAUAUAGAGCUCGGUCCUCAGACGUAUCCUGGCCAAGGGGUGAGGGAGCGGGGGUGUUUAAACCCCGAUGCAUCAUCCCCAAGAACUUCUAGCCUGCAUCCAACAAAGUCUAGUUGCUUGCCAUGAGCAGAUACUGACUGAUGUACACAGACGAGUCAAGGGAACCCUGAGGGUCAUGGACCACCAAUAGCAUGAGCACAUGCAAAGUGAGGCAAUAAUGUCUGGACCCAAUUCUAAGACUGGAAAAAUGAGGACUCGGUCCCUGCUUAGGACAGAGUUACACUUCUGUUUGUUCCUAAAGUAGCAAACAAGCUUUGCAAAUGAUCAAGAUGAAAGAAGAAACCUGGGUACACAUGGCUUUCAACGGCUUCCCUUAUGUCUCACUUCCCCUAUUCUGUGGUCUCAGUAGUUGUAUUGAGAAGAGUCUACAGUUGUGGGUUCAUAAUCUUUUAUUACCUCCAACCCAGAAACAACGUAUUCUACUAAGAAGACAAUGGUAAUGAUGCUCCAGAGUCAUUUUAGGUGCUUUUUGAAAGAAAAAAACAACUUGACCUUUUAAUGGAUGUCUAAAGAAAAACUAGCCGCAUAAAAGAGAAAGACAAAGAUAAGAAAAUACAGGAGUUCCCAUUGUGGCUCAGCAGGUUAAGAAUUCAACUGAUAUCCAUGAGGAUGGGGGUUGUAUCCCUGCUUCACCCAGUGGGUUAAAGGAUCCAGUGUUGCCGUGAGCUGUGGUAUAGGUCACAGACAUGGCUCGGACCUGGAGAUGCUACAGCUGUGGCAUAAGCCGGCAGCUGCAGCUCUGAUUGGACCUGAGAACUUCCAUAUGCCACAGAUGCAGCCAUACUAAAUAAAUAAAUAAAUAGAUAAAUAAAUACAGUAAAUUGACUUUUGAAAAAACAGGGUAUUGGAACAGAAGAGACUGUUGCAAAAACCCAAAUCCUAAAAGACAUGAGAUAUUAGUGGGAUCCAUAAAAUAAGAAUAGAGUGCUACUUUUAAAAAAAAUCAGAAUAAUGAAAUGCUUUUGACAAUUAAGUACAUAAUUGCAAAAAUAAAAUUUUCACUAGAAGUCAAAUAAGUCUAAAACCAAGGGCAAAAAUACAAGGAGAUAAAAAACAAGAGUGAAGCAAUUAAGAGCCAUCAUGGGUCAAUGAAGAAAGUAAAACUUCCUAGUAAUAAGAAGAAAAUAGACCAAGUGGAGAGAAGAAAGUAUCUGAAAAACAGUACAGUGAUGGGACUUCUGGUUCUGGAUCUAUAUCAAUACACAGCUCAGGGCAGUGAACCCUGACAGAAGAGAACAACAGACAAGAGACAAGCUCCGUGAUUGCCCAAGCUGGCUUCCUGACUCCUCCAAGGCAUCAGCAUGGAGAAGAGGAACCCAGAGCCCUGUAAGUUGAGGAGAAGUCUCAAGAAGUCUCAAGAAAUCCAUGAAGAAUGAGGCAGCUGGAUUUCACAAGGCAGAGUAGCAGGGAGGAGAAUUCUGACAGAGAGAAAGUUCUGGAGAUCUACAAAGAGUCCCCCUCAAAUAUUGGUUAAAUACUGAUCAGAGCAUGUGUUAUGAGAAAACUUGAGGCCAAGGAAAGACUCACCCCGAAAAACAAAGGGUUCAGUACUUAGGGCUCAUACAGGGUGGAAAUAGUUCAUAAGGUGCAGUACACAGAAGGAUACUACUUAGUGGGGCAAGUGUAGAUAGAACCACAUCAAAUAUUUCUCUGGCCCAAUCCAACAAAACCAAGCCUCAAAAGGACCAAACUAUUUCCUUAAUUUCAUCUCAGAACAAAACUCAAGCAUCUUUAUAGGAGUACAGAAAUGUCAGCACCCAACAAUGUAAAUUUCACAAUGUAUGUUAUCUAAUCAAAAAUUACCAGGCAUGCAAAGAGGCAGGGAAAGAUAAUCCAUAAUGAGAAGAAAAUUCAAUUUUUAAAAACCUAUAGGGGAAUUUCCUAAAGGUAUAGUGGUUAAAACUCUGCACUUUUACCACUGAGGCCCUGGUUAAUCCUUGGUCUGGGAACUGAGAUCCUACAUCAAGCCACUGCAUGCUGUGGCCAAAACAAACAAACCAAAAAACGCCAUAAACAGCAUUAGUAGAUUGGAACACAAAAAUAAUACUUCAUAUGUUCAAGAACACAGGGGAAAGCAUUCAUAUGUUAAAGAGAGACAUGAGGCAUUCCCAUCAUGGCUCAGUGAUUAACAAACCCAACUAGUAUCCAUGAGGACGCAGGUUCAAUCCCUGGCCCCGCUUAGUGGGUUAAGGAUCUGGUGUUGCCGUGAGCUGUGGGGUAGGUCACAGAUGCAGCUUUGAUGCCACAUUGCUGUGACUGUGGUGUAGGCUGGCAGCUACAGCGCCAAUUGGACCCCUAGCCUGGGAACCUACAUAUGCCAUAGGUGUGGCCCUGAAAAGGCAAAAGACAAAAUAAAAUAAAAUAAAAUUAAAUUAAAUUAAAUUAAAUUAAAAAAUGAGACAUGAAAGCUUUAAAAAAACUCAAACUCCUAGAAGUGAAACAUAUAAUAUCUGUGAUGAAAAAUAUUCUGAAUCAAUAUUAACAGCAGAUUAGCCACUGCAGAAGAAAAGGUCAGUGAACUUGAUGACACAGCAAUAGAAACUAUCCAAAAUGAGAGACAGAGAGGGAAACAAAGACUGAAAAGAAAAGAAAUCCGUGAGCUUUAACACAACAUCAAGCAACCUAAUAAAUGAGUAUGUGCAAAGACGGGGCAAAAAAGAAGAAAUCCUGGUAACUAAUCUUCCGAACUUAGCAAAUUAUAAACACACACAGAUCUGAGAAGCUCAACAAAUUCUAUUUCCUUCAGCUGAAUAGAGACACCGUUUUCAAAUGGCAAGGGCCCAGCGAGUGACGUCAGACCGUCAAAGCGUCCAGGUCACCCAUUCAGGCAAGAACAAAGCUGAAAGCAACAAGCAAGCUUUUAUUGAUCUACUUCCAUGGAGCAAGACAAGAGCUCCCCAGUGUUCCUUUUCCCAAGCAGUGUGCAGGCAAGUCAGGUAGACACAGCCCAGACGAGAAGAAAUGUCUCACUGCUGAGGAUCCCUCAACAAAACGGGGUGGGGGAGAGGAAGAAGGCCUGGGAGUGGAAAAAUACUGAAUCAAAGCAGAGAAGGGCCUCAACUGAGGCCUCUGAAUGGAGGCGCCGAGAAUUCCGAUAGGCCUAUGGGCUUGGCUGGCCUGGGGCGGGACUGAUCCUUGUCUACAACUCUUUCUAGAAAACUGCAGUGCACUGCUGUGGCCAAGGUUGGCGGUGUGUGGGGGGGGUGCCGCAGAGGGCAGCUUCUCCCAUGAGGCCCCACCAGGCGAAGUUUUGUAUUUGCCUGUGAUCAGGCCUGAAAGAUGAUACACUGGAUGUUGGCCUGGCACCAGACGCCUUGAAUGGGAAGCAGAAUAAUUGGGGGCUGUUUCUCAUAUGCAGGUAGGUAUAAAAUCAGGAUAUCAGGAGAGAGAUCUAGGCUAAAGAAAAUGUGGGGAGCCAUCAGCAUAAAUGACAGCCGGUGAACUCAUAGAAGAGAGCGACCAGAAGGGGAGACGGUUUAAACUGAGCAGAAACAGGAACUGGGACAAAGCAGUGAGGGGCACCAGGAUUAGGAAGAAGCAGUGGUGUGGGUUUGCAUAGACUGAGAAUGGCCAGAGAGACAGAAGGAACAGCAGAUGCGUGUGAAAUCAUGAGACCCUGAGAAGACGGGAACAGGGGAUAAUGGCUAUCAAAUGCUAUCGAAAAAUCAGAGGAGAAAAAGGCUCCAAAGAGUCAAAUGGGUUUGAAUCCCAGAAACCAGCUGGGGAUCUUGGUUAGAAGAGGGUAAGCACAGCAGGAGGAACAGAAAGCCUGUCGUUCCCAGGCUGAGGGACAUCUGGGAAGUGAGAAAACAAAGACAGGUGUAGAUAAAUGUAGCUAAACUUGGCUAUGAAUGGUAGGAGAAAGGACAGCCUCUGGGGCAGUAAAGGAUAUGCUUUUUGAAGAUAGGAGAGACUUGAGAAGCUUUCGUUGUUGAUAAGAAUACAAUGGAAUACUACUCAAUCGUAAAAAAUGACAUUUUGCCAUUUGCAACAAUAUGGAUGGACUUGGAGGGUAGUAAGCUAUGUGAAAUAAGUCAGACAGAGAAAGACAAAUACUGUAUGGUAUCUCUUAUAUGUGGAAUCAAAAAUAAAAACACAACUAGUGAGUAUAAUAAAAAAAGAAACAGACACACAGAUACAGAGAAUAGACCAGUGGUUACUAGUGGGUAGAAGGCAAGAGGAGGGGCAGAAAAGAGGUAGAGGAUGAAGAGGUACACACUACUGUAUAUAAAAUAAAUAAGCUCGAAGGGUAUAUUGUACAGCACGAGAAUAUAGCUAAUAUCCUGUAAUCACUAUAAAUGGAGUAUAAAAAUUGCGAGUCACUAUAUUGUACUCCUGACGCUUUUAUAAUAUUGUACAGCAACUAUACCUCAACUAUUUAAAA
ensembl:lncRNA